CCCACAAUUUUCUCUCUCUUUCUAAAAUUCCUCUGCCAUUGCUCAGCCACGUCAGCACCUUCCUAAAUGCCUGACGUCGACACCUGAUUUCUCCAUCCUUACGUUUCGCCCUAUCAUAGCUCCACGUCUCUCUCUCUUAAUCUCUCAAUUCUCUCCGUCGAAUUCCUCCCAAUUCUGUAGAAUCACUGGUGCCAACCAAAACUGUGCGCUCUUCUUUCGAUUUCAGUCUUCUCAGUCGGUUAUGUCGGAGUCCGGAGGUGAAGAAUCCAGCCAACCAGGUAAGCGGAAGGUCAAGGCCGAUGAAAUCGGCGGUGAGGAGCUUCAGCUUGCGGCGGAGGACCCGCUGCUCGUCUUCGGUUCGGAAAUCAUGACGAUUAUUCUCGCCAAGCUCGACUUGCGUAGCGUCGCGGAAGCUCGUCUGGUUUCUCGCGGCUGGCAGGCCAUUGCUUCUGCCGACAGAAUUUGGGGUCCCAAGAUAGAUCAAGGUGAGUGAGAAGUGUUCGAACGAAUUAUAAGGCUUUUCAUCGAAUGCACUUAUGACACACUCUUGUGUGUCGGUUCAUAAUCCUGAUCCAUAUUGUCAAACUGCAUAACACGAGUUUAAAGAAAGGAUUUAUUUCUCAUAUUUAGAUCGAGUCCAAACUUUAUCUGGUUCUAUGAGUCGUGGAAAUCUACCAUCUUCGAAAUUGGGUAUUGCCAACCAUGGGGGACUAACUGCCAAUUCAAACUGGAGAAAAGAUGGUAAUAAAGAAUCAUUUGUUUCCUCAAGCUCAUUAAUGAUCCAGAUUCUUCCUUUACUUUAACCGGAGGCUGGUGUUCUUUGAUGCUGUGUACACGAAAGGGGCUGGCCGUUAAAAGACUGCGUUGUAAAACGCGAUCACAGUUAAUUUCUUAAAUUUAUGUUUGUUUGAAGUAGUCGAUCUAAUUUCUUAGAUGAGACAACUUGACUUGUUUGUGGUUUGACUUGUGAAGGUGUAGAGACAUUUUAUUGUCAUGUAAUAGUAAUACAUAUGUCAAGUUAAA